AGCCCACAGCAACUCUGCAGGGAAGAAUGUGGGGAAAUAAAUGCCUUCAUCUCUCUCUUGUCCCACCCGCAGAGCUCCUUCUGGGAUUCUCUAUUGGCUGAAUUCAGCCAGAAGCUGCCUAGGGAGACCCCCACAACUGGAUGCAGCCCACUGAAGUCAGCUUCCUGGGGUGCAUAGCCGAAGGUAGCAGGGUGCAAAAAGGAUCUGAAGGGACAAGUGAACAAUGUAGAGCAUAUCUGUGCUGAAGACGUAAGGAGAGAGUGGAGGUCAGAAGCUGGCAGGGUCCCUGGUGCACGUGUCAGCUGCUAAAGAAGUGGAGAGUAUGAACAUAAGCAAGAGGAAGUGAUGAGUAUCCCCUCCAGGAGAACUUUAAGAGCCAGUGAGUGAUUUGCUGGGCUCCCAAGCCCUCUGCUCUGAUGACAGCAAAGCCCCAAAUCAUGACGCCUCUAUCAAUCUGGACCCCUCAGCAGAGCCAGCUUCACAGGAACAAGCUGGAAAACCUCAUUGAGCCUGGGCUUCAGUAUUGAUACCGUUAUAGAAAUCGUGAGUCUCCACUGUGUUUUCUUUGAAAGAUACUGCAAGCUGGUUUAUGAACAACUAAAGAUUGUGGAAUCUCACUACAAGUGGUUUGGCAAGGAUGGUACUAUGUCAUCUCCAGGAUUUUCUUAAUACUGAGUGAGAAUCUGUUAUGACUGGAGACAUCUUGUUACCAGCAGAAGAGAUCCAGGUUACCCCAAGCUACUGUCGUGUAUCCAUGUGAAUCUGCAGCAACUUCAGCCCUUACCUCCUCGGAAAGAAGAAUUUGAUUGAGGAGCAUAAAGCAGAAAAAUAAACUGGGGCAAGUUCCAGAGCAGGAGUGGAAGGUUAUUAAAAAGGCUUUAGAACAGAAGCAAGACUGACCUCCUUGGACCAGACUUUCUGGACAAUUUGCUGGCAGAGGAAGAGACCACAAGAGGAAAAAGGUGGACUUCCUGGAGAGACCAUGUGAACACACAGCAAGAACGUGGUGCUCUGCAAGUCAGAAACAGACCCUUCAUCAGACACCAAAUCAGCCAGCACCCUGAUCUAGGAUUUCCGGCCUCCAAAAUGAAGGACACUGGGAGCCAUGGACAGCUCUAAACAUGAAGUGGCAUCCUCUCCUAGAGCUGAAUCCCCCCACGCUCUCCAUCCUGUCUGCAGACACUUCUGAGCACCAGGACAUCCACUCAGUUCCCACUGACCCAGGUAACUAGGUCCCAGGAGAUUCUGUGUCUAUACUUACCUCCCCAACAGAGCAAGUCUAGCCCUAGCAGGUGUGCAAGCCAGCAAUCUGGCAAUUAGAGCCACUGAUUGGAAAAUGGGCUGCUUACCUGCGACAAAGGAGGGCUUCUCUUUUCUGAGGCCUUAGACAAAGCAGGCUUCCAGGGCUGCUAAUUACCUGAUAGGUAGCAAAGCUAUCACCUACUGGGCCUUUUAGCUCAGUUAAUAAAGCAAUUUUUCCAGUC